CCCAGACUCCUACGGGAGGCAGCAGUGGGGGAUAUUGCACAAUGGGGGGAACCCUGAUGCAGCGACGCCGCGUGGGUGAAGGAGCGUUUCGGCGCGUAAAGCCCUAUCGGCAGGGAAGAAGGAGGACGGUACCUGACUAAGAAGCCCCGGCUAACUACGUGCCAGCAGCCGCGGUAAUACGUAGGGGGCAAGCGUUAUCCGGAUUUACUGGGUGUAAAGGGGGCGCAGACGGCAGCGCAAGCCAGGAGUGAAAGCCCGGGGCCCAACCCCGGGACUGCUCUUGGAACUGCGCGGCUGGAGUGCAGGAGGGGCAGGCGGAAUUCCUGGUGUAGCGGUGAAAUGCGUAGAUAUCAGGAGGAACACCGGUGGCGAAGGCGGCCUGCUGGACUGCGACUGACGUUGAGGCCCGAAAGCGUGGGGAGCAAACAGGAUUAGAUACCCCCGUACG
rnacentral:rRNA from 1 species